rnacentral:rRNA from 1 species
AUUGAACGCUGGCGGCAUGCUUUACACAUGCAAGUCGAACGGUAACAGGCCUUCGGGUGCUGACGAGUGGCGCACGGGUGAGUAAUGCAUCGGAACGUACCCAGAGGUGGGGGAUAACGCAGCGAAAGCUGUGCUAAUACCGCAUGUGAUCUGAGGAUGAAAGCGGGGGACCGAGCAGCAAUGUUUGGCCUCGCGCCUUUGGAGCGGCCGAUGUCGGAUUAGCUAGUUGGUGGGGUAAAGGCCUACCAAGGCGACGAUCCGUAGCUGGUCUGAGAGGACGACCAGCCACACUGGGACUGAGACACGGCCCAGACUCCUACGGGAGGCAGCAGUGGGGAAUUUUGGACAAUGGGCGCAAGCCUGAUCCAGCAAUGCCGCGUGCGGGAAGAAGGCCUUCGGGUUGUAAAGCGCUUUUGGCAGGAACGAAACGGUGUCCGCUAAUACCGGGCGCUAAUGACGGUACCUGCAGAAUAAGCACCGGCUAACUACGUG